rnacentral:rRNA from 1 species
GAUGAACGCUAGCGACAGGCCUAACACAUGCAAGUCGAGGGGCAGCACGGGAGUAGCAAUACAACUGGUGGCGACCGGCGCACGGGUGAGUAACACGUAUGCAACCUACCUGUAAGAGGGGAAUAACCCGGAGAAAUUCGGACUAAUACCGCAUAAUACUGUUUACCUGCAUGGGUGAACAGUUAAACAUUUAUGGCUUACAGAUGGGCAUGCGUAUGAUUAGCUAGUUGGUGAGGUAACGGCUCACCAAGGCAACGAUCAUUAGGGGUUCUGAGAGGAAGGUCCCCCANACUGGUACUGAGACACGGACCAGACUCCUACGGGAGGCAGCAGUGAGGAAUAUUGGUCAAUGGGCGAGAGCCUGAACCAGCCAAGUCGCGUGAAG